rnacentral:lncRNA from 1 species
AAUUUUCUGAUUAUGCAUUAAGUUGGUGGACUCAACUUGGGGUAAGCCGCCAUCGGAAUUAUGAAGGUGAGAUUUCGACAUGGGAUGAGUUGAAACAGAUUAUGCGUAAAAGGUUUAUUCCACCUCACUACUAUAGAGAAAUUAAAACAAAGCUGAGAAGACUUAUCCAAGGUAGUAGGACAGUGGAUGAAUAUUUUAAAGAGAUGGAGAUGCUCAUUCAGAGAGCCAAUGUGGAGGAGGAUGAAGAAACAACUAUGGUUCGAUUUAUUGAUGGUUUGAACAGGCCGAUAGCUAAUACAUUGAGGCUACAAACUUACAUUGAUUUGGAAGAAGCAGUUCAUAAAGCCAUUGAGAUCGAGCAACAACUAAAGGAACAAAGGUUUGGUUCCUUCUCGACUUCGCAAUAUUACCGAGGUAACAAUUCCAAUUCUGAUUUUAAGAGCUCAAAAUCACCUUUCCUUACUAACAAGCCUGCUUUGAGUAAUGGAAGCAAGCAAUCAGAUUGGAAAAAAGGGACUCCUGUUAAAACGCAAACACCUUCUAAGCAGCCCAAUUUAGGAGAUUCGAGUGCGAAGAGGACUCGUGAGAUUGAGUGCUUUAAGUGCAAAGGGCGUGGUCAUUAUAGUAGGGAAUGCCCUAACACGAGAUUACUUCUUCUGAAAGAUAAUGGUGAGUACACUUCCGACUCUGAUAAAACAGAUCCAGAUAUGCCAGAACUUGUGGAUGACAGUGAUAAUGGCGAAGAGUUGGUCGAACCACCAAAAGAAGGGGACUUUGCUAAUUUCCAUUGCUUUGUAGUUCGCCGAACCCUUAACAUUCAGAUGAAAGAUGAUGAGAGCCAAAGGACCAAUAUUUUCCAUUCUCGGUGUUUUAUUAAAGGUAACUUAUGUUCACUCAUUAUUGAUAGUGGGAGUUGCUCGAAUGUAGUGAGUAGUUAUUUGGUGGAUUCUUUAAAGUUGCCUUGUACCAAACACCCUAAGCCAUAUCACCUUCAGUGGCUUAAUGAAUGUUCCGAAGUUAAAUUUACGAAACAGUCCUUGGUCACUUUUAAACUAGGCAAUUAUGAGGAUGACGUAUGGUGUGAUGUAGUCCCCAUGCAUGUGGCACACUUGCUCCUUGGACGACCUUGGCAAUUUGAUCGCGAUGUUACACACCAAGGUAAACUUAAUCGAUACUCCCUUGUAUUUAAAGGCAAGAAAUUCACUUUUGCUCCUUUAAAUCCUACUGAUGUAUAUAAAGAUCAAUUGAGGAUGAUAAAAUUUUGUUAGGGGGUAAGGGAGAAAGAGCAAGUACAAAAGACAGAGAGAAAAGAGGCUAAUAGUAGUGGAAAAAGUCAAAAUUUAAAAAGCCCAAAGGUGAGUGAAUCCUCUAGUGGUAAAAUGAGCGGAAAAAAUCUUUUGGCAACAAAAAAAGAUGUGAAGAGAGCCCUACUUAAUAAACAGCCUUGUAUCCUUGUGAGGUUUAGGCAAAAUUAUUUAUCUUUAUCUAACAUUAACGAAAAUUUGCCUAGUGUGUUUCAAUCUCUUUUGCAGGAUUAUGAGGAUGUUUUUAGUGAGGCCCCUAAAGGUUUACCACCUUUACGAGGGAUAGAACAUCAAAUUGACUUAGUACCCAGAGCUUCAAUCCCAAAUCGACCAGCCUAUAGAUGCAAUCCCGAGGAGACAAAGGAAUUGCAAAGGCAAGUUGAGGAAUUACUAGACAAAGGGUACAUUCGUGAGAGCCUAAGUCCUUGUGCUGUUCCUGUCUUAUUGGUGCCAAAGAAAGAUGGUACGUUUCGUAUGUGUGUUGAUUGUCGCCCAAUCAACAAGAUAACGGUAAAGUAUCGACACCCAAUCCCUAGACUUGAUGAUAUGCUUGAUGAAUUACAUGGUUCAAUAAUAUUUACAAAAAUUGAUUUAAAAAGCGGUUAUCAUCAAAUUCGAAUGAGGGAAGGGGAUGAAUGGAAAACAGCCUUUAAAACAAAAUUUGGAUUGUAUGAAUGGUUAGUUAUGCCUUUCGGCCUUACUAAUGCACCUAGUACAUUUAUGAGAUUAAUGAAUCAUGUUUUGAGGCUACAUUUGGGUAAAUUUGUAGUAGUUUACUUUGAUGAUAUUUUAAUUUACUCAAAUUCAUUAGAUGAUCAUGUUUUCCAUGUUCGAACCGUUUUGGAUAUUCUACGAACUGAAAGAUUAUUUGCCAACCUUGAUAAAUGCACAUUCUGUUGUGAUAAACUAAUAUUCUUAGGUUUCAUAGUUAGUGCUCAAGGUAUUCAUGUCGACGAGGACAAAGUUAAGGCAAUUAAGGAGUGGCCGACUCCUAAAUCGGUAACUGAGGUGAGAUCUUUCCAUGGUUUAGCCAGUUUUUAUAGACGAUUUGUGAAAGAUUUCUCUACUAUUGCUGCCCCAUUGACAGAAGUUAUAAAGAAAUCAGUGGGUUUCAAAUGGUGUGAAACCCAAGAAAAAGCUUUUCAAACUCUAAAAGCUAAGUUAUGUUCUGCUCCUUUGCUUAAAUUACCUGAUUUUGCUAAAGCUUUUGAACUUGAGUGUGAUGCUUCAGGAAUUGGAAUCGGCGCCGUUUCAAUGCAAGAUAAGCAACCUACUGCUUAUUUUAGUGAGAAAUUGAACGGUGCACAGUUAAAUUACUCGACUUAUGACAAAGAACUAUUGGCAUUAGUUCGUGCACUUCAAGUAUGGCAACAUUAUUUGCUGCCUAAUGAGUUUGUCAUACAUACAGAUCAUGAGUCUCUUAAAUGGUUAAAGGGACAAGGUAAGUUGAGUAAAAGACAUGCCCGAUGGGUAGAAUUCAUUGAAACAUUCCCUUAUGUGAUUCAAUAUAAAACAGGUAAAGAUAAUGUAGUCGCAGAUGCUUUGUCUAGACGAUAUACUUUAAUAACUACAUUGAAUGCUAAAGUCUUAGGGUUUGAACAUAUUAAAGAGUUAUAUGAUGAUGAUACUGAUUUCAGCCAUAUCUAUAAGAAUUGUGGACAUACUGCUUUUGAAAAAUUUUAUCUUGUAGAUGGCUUUCUUUUUCGUUUAAACAGGUUAUGCAUACCAAAGUGUUUCAUGAGAGAAUUGUUGAUUCAUGAAGCCCAUAGUGGGGGAUUAAUGGGACAUUUUGGAGUGGCCAAAACACUAGACAUAUUGCAAGAACACUUCCAUUGGCCACAUAUGAAGAAGGAUGUGGAAAAGGUAUGUUCCAAGUGCAUUACAUGCAAACAAGCAAAAUCUAAGGUAAUGCCUCAUGACCUUUACACUCCUCUACCGAUUCCUACUUCACCUUGGGUAGAUUUAUCCAUGGAUUUUAUUUUAGGUUUGCCUCAAACAAAAAAAGGAAGAGAUAGUAUAUUUGUUGUUGUUGACAGGUUUUCAAAGAUGUCACAUUUUAUUCCUUGUCACAAAACAGAUGAUGCUACACAUGUGGCAGACUUAUUCUUUAAAGAAGUGGUAAGACUUCAUGGCAUCCCUAAAACAAUUGUUUCUGAUAGAGAUGUCAAAUUCCUUAGCCACUUUUGGAAGGUAUUGUGGGGUAAGCUUGGUACUAAAUUGCUUUAUUCUACUACAUGUCACCCCCAAACUGAUGGUCAAACUGAAGUAGUUAAUCGAAUCUUAGGGACUUUAUUACGAGCUGUUGUGGGAAAGAACAUUAGAAAUUGGGAAGAAUGCCUACCAUUUGUUGAAUUUGCAUAUAAUAGAUCUAUUCAUUCUACAACUGGUUAUUCCCCAUUUGAAGUUGUUUAUGGUUUUAACCCACUAACAGUACUUGAUCUUGCGCCAUUACCUCUUGAACACGUUAUGAAUUUAGAUGGCGAACAGAAAGCUGAGUUGGUGAAAUCCUUACAUGAAAAGGCUAGACAGCGAAUAGCCAAAACAAAUGACGCCAACACCAACAAAGCAAACAAAGGGCGCAAACGGGUUGUACUAGAAUCCAGAGAUUGGGUUUGGGUCCAUUUGAGGAAAGAACGAUUUCCUACAAAAAGGAAGACUAAGUUGGACCCAAGGGGCGAUGGGCCUUUCCAAGUACUCGAGCGGAUCAACGAUAAUGCCUAUAAAAUUGAUCUACCUGGUGAGUACAAUGUAAGUUCUACUUUUAAUGUGGCUGACUUGUCCCCAUUUGAUUUUUCAGAUUCGAGGACGAAUCUUUUUGAGGAAGGGGGAAUGAUACGAGUCAUAAAGGCCCAAUCCAAGUUCAAGAACGUGAUGGGCUCAAAUUGCCACAAGGCCCAAUAACGAGAUCAAAGGCCCGACAAAUGCGGUCCAAACUAAAUGGGACCAUUCAAGAGCUUGUUAGCAAGGCCUUAGAUGCAUACACAAGAGAACAAGAAAAUCAAGAUUCACUUUCUUGUUUUCAAGAAAAUCAAGAAAUCGAAUCUUGGCCCAAUUCUGCUGUUCGAAGAGAUUUCAAGAAUCAAGAAAAUCAAGAUUUCAAAUCUUGGAAAUCUUGGUCCAAGAAACCAAAUCUUGCAGCCAAAACGCAUUGGAUCUCCAUUACGAGCGUCACCGACCCAAUUUUGGUAGGAGAUGGAUCACGAGCCCAAAUUCUUGAAGGCGAGGCCCAAUAACCAAAAUCCAGCCCAAUCAAGAAAUCUUUUCAUACUUAGUUGAAAAUCAGGCCAAAAUGUCAAAGGGCCCAAUUUGUAAACAUCUUACUUGUUUAAUUUAAUUUUUUAAUCUUUAGGAGCAUUACAUGUAAAAUUCGGCCCAAAACAGCCCAUAUAAGUGCAUGGCUGAAUUUACCUUGUUAUUUUAUUAAUUAGGUUUAAUUUUUUAUUAGUUACUUGUGAGAUUAGGAUUUGUUGGAGGCCUAUAUAAGCAUUGGCCAGCCACCCUUUGUAAAAACAUCUUAUUAUUAUUUUUUCUAUCAAAUUUUAGAUUUGUUGAGUGCAGAAUUUUCUUUGGGGUUUUCUCCAAGAAUUCUCUCUUGAGUUUUCUUUAGAAGUUGUUUUAACAAUAUUUUGAUUGUGGGAGCCAUCUUCAACCUUCUUCUAUCCAUUGAUAUUCUUUGGAGGGGAGAUUAGAGCCGUUUGAAGAGAUUUGUGAAAUCUUUCGGGAUUUCAAGGAUCUUUAGGACUUAUCCUUUAAUUCUUGCUGUUUUCGAUUUCUUUCUUUACUUUUCUUUGCUUAUACUUGUGCCGAUUUCUCAUCUAAUAUUUUGCUGUUCUUGUUUGUUUUCCAGCAUUGAUUAAACUCAAGAUCUCAUCGUUUAAGUUGUUCUCCUAUUGGCAGCACCCAUUCGAACCCAAAAAUCCCCAAUUCCUAGGGUUUGGCCGAUUGGAUUUCUUUCAAUUUGGGAAUCAAUUGAUUUCUGGAAAUUGGGCAUUCUUGGCCGAAUCAAUUCCUUGGCAGAUUCGCAUCUUUUCUUUCUUCUCAAUUUCGUUUGAUUCAUCGAUUCUAUUUCUUUUCUUUUUGCUGCUCUUUUAAUUGAAUUUGGGAAUUUUAAAUUCAAAUCUGAUUCGGUUUAAUCUUAAUCUUUGUUUUUGAUUUCAGAUCUGUUCGUUUAGGAUCUUUCGUAGGAGUUUCUCGUGACUUGAUGACUCGAUCUUGGUCCGCGCGCAACCUCUAUAUCACUUGUAGAAAUUUGAGCCCAUCACGUCCUUGAGCUUGAAUUGGGCCUUUGUGACUCGUAUCAAUAAGGGUCAAUCUUACCUUUUCCAUGUAAUUCAAACCUUCGCUCAUCGAGGGCAUAGUGUAGUCGAAGCUCCGUUGUUGAGUUAACCUUUGUCAAUUGGAACUCAAACUUCAUGUACAACCACAGAAACUGUUUAAGGCAUGAAUAUAAAUUGAAAACAAAUUUGGCAAAUUUCGUUACCUUAUUCAAAAACCAAGAUCAAAACUGAUACGACCCUGCCCCGAAAACAUCAUUGGCUCAGUUCAUCAGGCGCUAUUCGUAAACUUUUGCAAGCUAAACUAGCUUGUUCCGGCUCAAUGGAGCUCAAUCGAGCUGAUUCUAGCUCAUUGAGCUUGAACUUCAAUUUAUUUAAUUUUAUGCUUUUAGUUUGCUGGAAUAAAUUUUAUUUAAGUUCAGCUCGUUUUUAACUUUCUUAAGUUUACAUUAUUUUGCUGGAAUAAAACAAAUAAGUUGCUGAUUAGUUAAUUAAAAUAAGUUAACUAAUUUGUUUAAAAAUCAGGACAUCCUUAUUUGAAUGUGUCUUAGUUUAUUACCUAUUAAAUAGAUGUCUAAUAGUUAAUUAAGUGUGUCUAAAUUUAAGACAAAUUUAAUUCAUGUUUUCAAUUAAUUUUCCAGACGAAUUUAAUGUGCAGGUUAUUGUGUACUUUGGACGAAUUUAAUGCUGUCACUUAAUGUGUUUUUUGCUGCUGUUGUUUAAUGUGUCUUAAGUGCUUUAAAGUGCCGAAUUUAAUGUCUUAUUGUUAACUUAAUUCAUGUCCAGCCGAAAUUAAUGUGCAUGCAUUAUUUGACCGAAUUUAAUUACUUGUCUGCAGGUUUAAUGGCUUGGACGGCAUUAAAGGAGGUAGAUGAUGCCGAAUUUAAUAUGUACAUGGACAUGGGACAAGCAUUUAAAUGAGACAUGUUGGCCGAAUUUAUUGUACAACAAGACAUGCAUUAAAGAUGUUGUUCUACAUGCAUGGAACGGCAAUUAAUGAGAUGUUCCACAUGCAAUGGACGACAUUUAAAUGAGGGAGAGUGAUGAGGGCACCAUGCGUGAACAGCAAAUUAAGAGCCAAUUGAAGAUGCAUGGACAGCAAGAUUCAACAAAUGGGAAAGUGCAUGGAUGUCUAGCUACAUUAAUUUAUGCAAUGAAUCUUUGGCCUCUAAGGUGAUUGUUCGGCCAAGAGACACUUAUUAGCUAGUACAUUCAUGCUAUAGCCGAACCUAGACAAGGCUGAUGGGCUGCCAUUCAUUCAUCUACAUUCAAGAGCUAUGUUUGCUUAAUCAAGAAGGUGUCCAUUGAUGUUCCAUUCAGCCGAAUAUGGACAUGCCUUUAAAGUUCAUCUCUCUAGUUUAAUUAAACUCAUUAAUAGCCACAUCACUUAGUCAUUAAGCUAUGUCCAUUAGGCUAUCAAAUGUAGGCUAUAAAUAGUCUGUUAUCACAUUUUGUAAAGGACUUUUGACUUUUGAUCAUUUGAAUAAACUUUGUUCAAAGAGUGAGUUUUCUCCUCUCUAAAUUCGUACGAGUUUCGAUCUGACUUAUCUAGCGUGCUAGUGGCGUCUAUCGUUCUCUUUUGAACUUAUCACCUUGCUUUGGUGUGGCGUUCAACCCUUCUAAAAUUUCGCAAUCCCACCUUGAGCUGAAUAGAAAUCGGGGUGACACUUUUUAGUGUUGAAUCGUUUCUGGUGUUUAAGCUCAUUUAUCCAUUCCACCGACUAUCCUAGAUUUUACCCAACUAUAAUAUCUUUUUACAAAAUCGAGCCUUCAUUUAUCAACUUCCAUUUUUCUUAUUUUUAUCCUUAAAUCGAGCCUACUACCCUUAUAAAUUUACCAUCACCUUAGCCAACCUUUAACACCAUUUAAAAGCUUCCGCAUCUUUAGCCUUAUUUCAUCCUAUUUCCGAUAACUCAACUAUUCCUCGUUGACGAUCGGGCAAUCAAGUGAAUCGACUCAAUUAAUCCGGGCCGGAUCACAUCAAAAACAAUAGAAGGUAUUUGCACACAAUAGAUGAUGCUUGAUUUUCCAACAAAAUAUACCAAAAUAGAUUCUGGGUUUAAAAACUUGAUUUUGAUUAGUCAUGCCGAAGUGUAACAAAGAUUUCAUUAAACCAAUCAAGUUAAACCAUGAGGAUUUUUGCAUACAUACCAACAUACAUUCAAAAAAAAUUUUAUUCACCAAAGCAGAUUUGCACAAAUUUGCAGAUUUUACACAAGGCAAAUCAAGAGAAUAACAACUCACACUUCCUUUCUUAGUUCGUGGCAAUCCUAGAAUAAAAUCCAUGGAUAAGUCUUCCCAUGGUGAAGUAGGAAUCGGCAAAGGAGUGUAAAGACCGUGAGGCAUUACCUUAGAUUUUGGUUGUUUACAUGUGAUGCACUUAGAACAUACCUUUUCGACAUCCUUCUUCAUAUGUGGCCAAUGGAAGUGUUCUAUCCCACGUAAAGGUGGUAAACCUUUAGGGGCCUCACUAAAAACAUCCUCAUAAUCCUGCAAAAGACAUUGAAACACACUAGGCAAAUUUUUGUUAAUGUUAGAUAAAGAUAAAGAGUUUUGCCUAAACCUCACAAGGAUACAAGGCUGUUUAUUGAGUAGGGCUCUCUGCACAUCUUGUUUUGUUGCCAUCAAAUUUUUCACUCUAGUUUUACCACUUGCGGAUUCACUCACCUUUGGGCCAUUUAAAUUUUGACUUUUUUCACUACUAGCCUCUUUUCUCUCUGUCUUUUUUUAUUUGUCCUUUAUCCCUCACCCCCUCACAAAAUUUCAUCAUCUUUAAUUGAUCUUUAUAUACAUCAUUGGGAUUUAAAGGAGAAAAGUGAAUUUUCAGCCUUUAAACACAAGAGAGUAUCUAUUGAGCUUGCCUUGGUGUGUAACAUCACGAUCAAAUUGCCAAGGCCAUCCAAGGAGCAAGUGUGUCGCAUGCAUUGGGACCACAUCACACCAUACCUCAUCCUCGUAAUUCCUGAGCUUAAAAGUGAUCAACGCCUGUUUUGUAACUUUAACUUCCGAGCAUUCAUUAAGCCACUGAAGGUGAUACGCCUUAGAGUGCUCGGUACAAGGUAACUUUAAAGAAUCCACCAAAUAACUGCUUACUACAUUCGAACAACUCCCUCUAUCAAUAAUAAGUGAACAUAAGUUACCUUUUAUAAAACACCUAGAAUGGAAAAUAUUGGUCCUUUGAUUAUCAGCAUCGUCUCUCAUUUGGAUGUUAAGGGUGCGGCGAGCUCAACAUUAUUUGCUGCCCAAUGAAUUUGUCAUACAUACAGAUCAUGAAUCCCUCAAGUGGUUAAAGGGAAAAGGUAAGUUGAGUAAACAGCAUGCCCGAUGGGUAGAAUUCAUUAAAACAUUCCCUUAUGUGAUAAAAUAUAAAACAGUUAAAGAUAAUGUAGUUGCGGAUGCUUUGUCUAGACGAUAUGCUUUAAUAACUACAUUGAAUGCUAAAGUAUUAGGGUUUGAGCAUAUUAAGGAAUUAUAUAAUGAUGAUGCUGAUUUCGGCCAUAUCUAUAGAAAUUGUGGACAUACUACUUUUGAGAAGUUUUAUCUCGUAGAUGGCUUUCUUUUUCGUAUAAACAGGUUAUGCAUACCAAAGUGUUCCAUACGAGACUUAUUGAUACAUGAGGCCCAUAGUGGGGGUUUAAUCGGACAUUUUGGAGUGGCCAAAACACUAGACAUCUUGCAAGAACACUUCCAUUGGACACAUAUGAAGAAGGAUGUCGAAAAGGUAUGUUCUAAGUGCAUUACAUGCAAACAAGCAAAAUCGAAGGUAAUGACUCAUGGCCUUUACACUCCUUUGCCGUUCCUACUUCACCAUGGGUAGACUUAUCCAUAGAUUUUAUUCUAGGUUUGUCAUGAACUAAGAAAGGAAGAGAUAGUAUAUUUAUUGUUGUUGACAGGUUUUCCAAUAUGACACAUUUUAUUCCUUGACACAAAACAGAUGAUGCUUCACAUGUGGCAGACUUAUUUUUUUAAAGAGGUGGUAAGACUUCAUGGCAUCCCUAAAACAAUUGUUUCUAACAGAAAUGUCAAAUUCCUUAGCCCCUUUUGGAAAGUAUUGUGGGGUAAGCUUGGUAUGAAAUUACUUUAUUCAACUACAUGUCACCCCCAAACUGAUGGCCAAACUGAGGUAGUUAAUCGAAUCUUAGGAGCCUUAUUACGAUCUAUUGUGGGAAAGAACAUUAAAAAUUGGGAAGAAUGUCAUCCAUUUGUCGAAUUUGCAUAUAAUAGAUCUAUUCAUUCUACAACUGGUUAUUCUCCAUUUGAACUUGUUUAUGGUUUUAACCCACUAACAGUACUUGAUCUUGUGCCAUUACCACUUGAACAUAUUGUUAAUUUAGAUGGUGAACAGAAAGCUGAGUUGGUGAAAUCCUUACACGAGAAGGCUAGGCAACGAAUAACCAAAACAAAUGAUGUCAACACCAACAAAGCAAACAAGGGGGUAAAUGGGUUGUCCUUGAACCUGGAGAUUGGGUUUGGGUCCAUAUGAGGAAAGAACAAUUUCCUACAAAAGGAAAGUCCAAGUUGGACCCAAGGGGCGAUGGGCCUUUCCAAGUACUUGAGCGGAUCAACGAUAAUGCAUACAAAAUUGAUCUACCCGGUGAGUACAAUGUAAGUUCUACUUUCAAUGUGGCUCACUUAUCUCCAUUUGAUUUUUUAGAUUCGAGGAUAAAUCUUUUUGAGGAAGGGGGAAUGAUACGAGUCACAAAGGCCCAACCCAAGUUCAAGAAAGUGAUGGGCUCAAAUUGCCACAAGGUCUAAUAACGAGAUCAAAGGCCCGACAAAUGCGGUCCAAACUAAAUGGGAUCAUUCAAGAGUUUGUUAGCAAGGCCUUAGAUGCAUGCACGAGAGAACAAGAAAAACAAGAUUCACUUUCUUGUUUUCAAGAAAAUCAAGAAACCGAAUCUUGGCCCAAUUUUGCUGUUCGAAGAGAUUUCAAGAAUCAAGAAAAUCAAGAUUUCAAAUCUUGGAAAUCUUGGUCCAAGAAACCAAAUCUUGCAGCCAAAACGCAUUGGAUCUCCGUUACGAGCGUCAACGACCCAAUUUCGGAAGGAGAUAGAUCACGAGCCCAAAUUCUUGAAGGCGAGGCCCAAUAAGCAAAUUCCAGCCCAAUCAAGAAAUCUAUACAUAUUUAGUUGAAAAUCGGCCAAAAAUGUCAAAGGGCCCAAUUUGUAAACAUUUGAAUUGUUAAUUUAAAUUUUAGGCUCUAGGAAAGAUACAUGUUAAAUUUUGGCCCAAAACAGACCAUUUAAGUGGCCAGGCGAAAUUUCCCUAUUAUUUCUGAUAUGGGGUUGCGCGCGGACCAAGAUCGAGUUGCCAAGUCACGAGAAAUUCCUAUGAAAGCUCUAGACAAAUCAAAUCUGAAAUCAAAAACAAAGAUUAAGAUUAAACCGAAUCAGAUUUGAAUUUAAAAUUCCCAAAUUCAAUUAAAAGAGCAGCAAGAAGAAAAGAAAUAGAAUCGAUGAAUCAAAUGAAAUUGGGAAGAAAGAAAAGAUGCGAAUCUGCCAAGGAAUUGAUUCGGCCAAGAAUGCCCAAUUUUCAGCAAUCAAUUGAUUCCCAAAUUGAAAGAAAUCCAAUCGGCCAAACCCUAAGAAUUGGGGAUUUUUGGGUUCGAAUGGGUGCUGCCAAUAGGAGAACAACUUAAACGAUGAGAUCUUGAGUUUAAUCAAUGCUGGAAAACAAACAAGAACAGCAAAAUAUUAGAUGAGAAAUCGGCACAAGUAUAAGCAAAGAAAAGUAAAGAAAGAAAUCGAAAACAGCAAGAAUUAAAGGAUAAGUCCUAAAGAUCCUUGAAAUCCCGAAAGAUUUCACAAAUCUCUUCAAACGGCUCUAAUCUCCCCUCCAACAAAUAUCGAUGGCAAGAAGAAGGUUGAAGAUGGCUCCCACAAUCCAAAGAUUGUUAAAACAACUUCUAAAGAAAACUCAAGAGAGAAUUCUUGGAGAAAACCCCAAAGAAAAUUCUGCACUCAACAAAUCUAAAAUUUGAUAGAAAAAUAAUAAGAUGUUUUCACAAAGGGUGGCUGGCCAAUGCUUAUAUAGGCCUCCAACAAAUCCUAAUCUCACAAGUAACUAAUAAAAAAUUAAACCUAAUUAAUAAAAUAACAAGGUAAAUUCGGCCAUGCACUUAUAUGGGCUGUUUUGGGCCGAAUUUUACAUGUAAUGCUCCUAAAGAUUAAAAAAUUAAAUUAAACAAGUAAGAUGUUUACAAAUUGGGUCCUUUGACAUUUUGGCUUGAUUUUCAACUAAGUAUGAAGAAAUUUCUUGAUUGGGCUGGAUUUUGGUUAUUAGGCCUCGCCUUCAAGAAUUUGGGCUCGUGAUCCAUCUCCUACCAAAAUUGGGUCGUUGACGCUCGUAAUGGAGAUCCAAUGCGUUUUGGCUACAAGAUUUGGUUUCUUGGACCAAGAUUUCCAAGAUUUGAAAUCUUGAUUUUCUUGAUUCUUGAAAUCUAAGGCCUUUGAAAACCUGUCAAUAACAACAAAUAUACUAUCUCUUCCUUUCUUAGUUUGAGGUAAACCUAAAAUAAAAUCCAUGGAUAAAUCUACCCAAGGUGAAGUAGGAACCGGUAGAGGAGUGUAAAGGCCAUGAGGCAUUACCUUAGAUUUUGCUUGUUUGCAUGUAAUGCACUUGGAACAUACCUUUUCCACAUCCUUCUUCAUAUGUGGCCAAUGGAAGUGUUCUUGCAAUAUGUCUAGUGUUUUGGCCACUCCAAAAUGUCCCAUUAAUCCCCCACUAUGGGCUUCAUGAAUCAACAAUUCUCUCAUGAAACACUUUGGUAUGCAUAACCUGUUUAAACGAAAAAGAAAGCCAUCUACAAGAUAAAAUUUUUCAAAAGCAGUAUGUCCACAAUUCUUAUAGAUAUGGCUGAAAUCAGUAUCAUCAUCAUAUAACUCUUUAAUAUGUUCAAACCCUAAGACUUUAGCAUUCAAUGUAGUUAUUAAAGUAUAUCGUCUAGACAAAGCAUCUGCGACUACAUUAUCUUUACCUGUUUUAUAUUGAAUCACAUAAGGGAAUGUUUCAAUGAAUUCUACCCAUCGGGCAUGUCUUUUACUCAACUUACCUUGUCCCUUUAACCAUUUAAGAGACUCAUGAUCUGUAUGUAUGACAAACUCAUUAGGCAGCAAAUAAUGUUGCCAUACUUGAAGUGCACGAACUAAUGCCAAUAGUUCUUUGUCAUAAGUCGAGUAAUUUAACUGUGCACCGCUCAAUUUCUCACUAAAAUAAGCAAUAGGUUGCUUAUCUUGCAUUAAAACGGCGCCGAUUCCAAUUCCUGAAGCAUCACACUCAAGUUCAAAAGUUUUAGCAAAAUCAGGUAAUUUAAGCAAAGGAGCAAAACAUAACUUAGCUUUUAGAGUUUGAAAAGCUUUUUCUUGGGUUUCACCCCAUUUGAAACCCACUGAUUUCUUUAUAACUUCAGUCAAUGGGGCAGCAAUAGUAGAGAAAUCUUUCACAAAUCGUCUAUAAAAACUGGCUAAACCAUGGAAAGAUCUCACCUCAGUUACCGAUUUAGGAGUCGGCCACUCUUUAAUUGCCUUAACUUUGUCCUCGUCGACAUGAAUACCUUGAGCACUAACUAUGAAACCUAAGAAUAUUAGUUUAUCACAACAGAAUGUGCAUUUAUCAAGGUUGGCAAAUAAUCUUUCAGUUCGUAGAAUAUCCAAAACGGUUCGAACAUGGAAAACAUGAUCAUCUAAUGACUUUGAGUAAAUUAAAAUAUCAUCAAAGUAAACUACUACAAAUUUACCCAAAUGUAGCCUCAAAACAUGAUUCAUUAAUCUCAUAAAUGUACUAGGUGCAUUAGUAAGGCCGAAAGGCAUAACUAACCAUUCAUACAAUCCAAAUUUUGUUUUAAAGGCUGUUUUCCAUUCAUCCCCUUCCCUCAUUCGAAUUUGAUGAUAACCGCUUUUUAAAUCAAUUUUUGUAAAUAUUAUUGAACCAUGUAAUUCAUCAAGCAUAUCAUCAAGUCUAGGGAUUGGGUGUCGAAUCUUUACCGUUAUCUUGUUGAUUGGGCGACAAUCAACACACAUACGAAACGUACCAUCUUUCUUUGGCACCAAUAAGACAGGAACAGCACAAGGACUUAGGCUCUCACGAAUGUACCCUUUGUCUAAUAAUUCCUCAACUUGCCUUUGCAAUUCCUUUGUCUCCUCGGGAUUGCAUCUAUAGGCUGGUCGAUUUGGGAUUGAAGCUCCGGGUACUAAGUCAAUUUGAUGUUCUAUCCCUCGUAAAGGUAGUAAACCUUUAGGGGCCUCACUAAAAACAUCCUCAUAAUCCUGCAAAAGAGAUUGAAACACACUAGGCAAAUUUUCGUUAAUGUUAGAUAAAGAUAAAUAAUUUUGCCUAAACCUCACAAGGAUACAAGGCUAUUUAUUAAGUAGGGCUCUCUUCACAUCUUUUUUUGUUGCCAAAAGAUUUUUUCCACUCAUUUUACCACUAGAGGAUUCACUCACCUUUGGGCUUUUUAAAUUUUGACUUUUUCCACUACUAUUAGCCUCUUUUCUCUCUGUCUUUUGUACUUGCUCUUUCUCCCUUACCCCUCACAAAAUUUUAUCAUCCUCAAUUGAUCUUUAUAUACAUCAGUAGGAUUUAAAGGAGAAAAAGUGAAUUUCUUGCCUUUAAAUACAAGGGAGUAUCGAUUAAGUUUACCUUGGUGUGUAACAUCGCGAUCAAAUUGCCAAGGUCGUCCAAGGAGCAAGUGUGCUGCAUGCAUGGGGACUACAUCACACCAUACGUCAUCCUCAUAAUUGCCGAGUUUAAAAGUGACCAAGGACUAUUUCGUAACUUUAACUUUGAAACAUUCAUUAAGCCACUGAAGGUGAUAUGGCUUAGGGUGUUUGGUACAAGGCAACUUUAAAGAAUCCACCAAAUAACUACUCACUACAUUCGAGCAACUCCCACUAUCAAUAAUGAGUGAACAUAAGUUACCUUUAAUAAAACACCGAGAAUGGAAAAUAUUGGUCCUUUGGCUCUCAUCAUCUUUCAUCUGAAUGUUAAGGGUUCGGCGAACUACAAAGCAAUGGAAAUUAGCAAAGUCCCCUUCUUUUGGUGGUUCGACCAACUCUUCGCCAUUAUCACUUUCAUCCACAAGUUCUGGCAUAUCUGGAUCUGUUUUAUCAGAGUUGGAAGUGAACUCACCAUUAUCUUUCAGAAGAAGUAAUCUCGUGUUAGGGCAUUCCCUACUAUAAUGACCACGCCCUUUGCACUUAAAGCACUCAAUCUCACGAGUCCUCUUCGCACUCGAAUCUCCUAAAUUGGGCUGAUUAGAAGGUGUUUGCGUUUUAACAGGAGCCCCUUUUUUCCAAUCUGAUUGCUUGCUUCCAUUACUCAAAGAAGGCUUGUUAGUAACGAAAGGUGAUUUUGAGCUCUUAAAAUCAGAAUUGGAAUUGUUACCUCGGUAAUAUUGCGAAGUCGAGAAGGAACCAAACCUUUGUUCCUUUAGUUGUUGCUCGAUCUCAAUGGCUUUAUGAACUGCUUCUUCCAAAUCAAUGUAAGUUUGUAGCCUCAAUGUAUUAGCUAUCGACCUGUUCAAACCAUCAAUAAAUCGAACCAUAGUUGUUUCUUCAUCCUCCUCCACAUUAGCUCUCUGAAUGAGCAUCUCCAUCUCUUUAAAAUAUUCAUCCACUGUCCUACUACCUUGGAUAAGUCUUCUCAGCUUUGUUUUAAUUUCUCUAUAGUAGUGAGGUGGAAUAAACCUUUUACGCAUAAUCUGUUUCAACUCAUCCCAUGUCGAAAUCUCACCUUCAUAAUUCCGAUGGCGGUUUACCCCAAGUUGAGUCCACCAACUUAAUGCAUAAUCAGAAAAUUCCAGUGUUGCUAACGCUACCUUUUCAUCAUCCGGACAUUUAUAAUACCGAAACAUAAGUUCAAUCUUAGAUUCCCAUUCACAAUAAGCGUCAGGAUCAUUCUUACCACGAAAUUGGGGAAUUGUGAAUUUCGAUUUUGCCAAAGAAGGUUGCCCACGAUCAUGAAAAUCAUCAUCCAUUCUAGUGACACGUCGAAGGCUGCGCCUCUGGGGUUGGUUAUCCCUAUCUUCUUUGAUUGGAUCUCGAUAUUGAGGUUCUUGAUUCAAUCGCACCUCAUUGAUAGUAGCAGUCAAAGCUCGAAGAGCAGCAGCCUGUUCAUCCAACUGUUGUUGGAAGUUUUUAAAUAUGUCACUAUUAUUAUCACCUGUAGACAUUUUUUUUAAAACCUGCAAAACACUCAACACUCAAAAAAGUUAUCAAACCUCACCGUUAAUCACUCAAAAAGAAAAAAUCAAAUUCUCAAUGAGGUCGAAUUCAAUCUUGUGAGUUCUUUAUCAGAGUUUAUAUCAACCAAUUAGAGAGUGUGAACCAAACUACCAAAGAAUCCUAAUUUGCACUAGGAUGCCAAAAACUGACGAGACACCAAUUGAUUCGUGUUGCACCGAGGAAGAAGUUGUGCACACGUUUAAAUCCUACUAACACAAGAAACAAGAAGGGGUUAGAUAACGUAAAGGAAGAAUAAAGGUAAACAAAUGAAAACCCACAGCUAAGAAUCAAUAAAAAUUGCUGAAAAUAGAAAUCCCGAAAAACUACGGAGUAACUUGACAACUUCGUUCGAGGUGUUCCCGAUCUCAAAAAAUCACGAAAUUAAAUCUGGAAUGUCUUUAUAUAUUUAAUUUUUGAUCUGGAAAUUUUGAGCACCAAAUUCAACCCGCUGAAUCUUUUUUUAAAUUUUUAUUGAAUUUUGUGUUUUUUUAUUUUUUGACUUUUUGACUGAUUUUUUUUGCGGGAAUAAUUUUUUUAUAUUCAAUCACAGUGCCAAAAACAUGUAUGUAAAAUUUCAGAUCAAUAGGACAACGUUUACCCACUCAAAUGAAUUUUUUUGAACAAUUUUUCUGGGUAAAACUGCUGUUUAUGCUUUAAAAAAUAGAGAUCAGUUUAGAAAUCAACCAAGAACACCCAAAAUGCCCAAAAUCUGAUACCAAAUGAUAUAGAGUUGCGCGCGGACCAAGAUCGAGUUGCCAAGUCACGAGAAAUGCCUAUGAAAGCUCUAGAAAAAUCAGAUCUGAAAUCAAAAACAAAGAUUAAGAUUAAACCGAAUCAGAUUUGAAUUUAAAAUUCCCAAAUUCAAUUAAAAGAGCAGCAAGAAGAAAAGAAAUAGAAUCGAUGAAUCAAACGAAAUUGAGAAGAAAGAAAAGAUGCGAAUCUGCCAAGGAAUUGAUUCGGCCAAGAAUGCCCAAUUUCCAGCAAUCAAUUGAUUCUCAAAUUGAAAGAAAUCCAAUCGGCCAAACCCUAGGAAUUGGGGAUUUUUGGGUUCGAAUGGGUGCUGCCAAUAGGAGAACAACUUAAACGAUGAGAUCUUGAGUUUAAUCAAUGCUGGAAAACAAACAAGAACAGCAAAAUAUUAGAUGAGAAAUCGGCACAAGUAUAAGCAAAGAAAAGUAAAGAAAGAAAUCGAAAACAGCAAGAAUUAAAGGAUAAGUCCUAAAGAUCCUUGAAAUCCCGAAAGAUUUCACAAAUCUCUUCAAACGGCUCUAAUCUCCCCUCCAACGAAUAUCGAUGGCAAGAAGAAGGUUGAAGAUGGCUCCCACAAUCCAAAGAUUGUUAAAACAACUUCUAAAGAAAACUCAAGAGAGAAUUCUUGGAGAAAACCCCAAAGAAAAUUCUGCACUCAACAAAUCUAAAAUUUGAUAGAAAAAUAAUAAUAAGAUGUUUUCACAAAGGGUGGCUGGCCAAUGCUUAUAUAGGCCUCCAACAAAUCCUAAUCUCACAAGUAACUAAUAAAAAAUUAAACCUAAUUAAUAAAAUAACAAGGUAAAUCCGGCCAUGCACUUAUAUGGGCUGUUUUGGGCCGAAUUUUACAUGUAAUGCUCCUAAAGAUUAAAAAAUUAAAUUAAACAAGUAAGAUGUUUACAAAUUGGGCACUUUGACAUUUUGGCCUGAUUUUCAACUAAGUAUGAAGAAAUUUCUUGAUUGGGCUGGAUUUUGGUUAUUGGGCCUCGCCUUCAAGAAUUUGGGCUCGUGAUCUAUCUCCUUCCGAAAUUGGGUCGUUGACGCUCGUAACGGAGAUCCAAUGCGUUUUGGCUGCAAGAUUUGGUUUCUUGGACCAAGAUUUCCAAGAUUUGAAAUCUUAAUUUUCUUGAUUCUUGAAAUCUCUUCGAACAGCAAAAUUGGGCCAAGAUUCGAUUUCUUGAUUUUCUUGAAAACAAGAAAGUGAAUCUUGAUUUUCUUGUUCUCUCGUGUAUGCAUCUAAGGCCUUGCUAACAAUCUCUUGAAUGGUCCCAUUUAGUUUGGACCACAUUUUUCGGGCCUUUGAUAUCGUUAUUGGGCCUUGUGGCAAUUUGAGCCCAUCACGUUCUUGAACUUGGAUUGGGCCUUUAUGACUCGUAUCAAUUUCUCUUAAUUUGGUUUAAAUUUUAUGUUUUCUAAUUAGAUUAGGAUUUGUUGGACGCCUAUAUAAGCAUUGGCCGGCCACCCUUUGUAAAAAACAUCUCAUUAUUAUUUUUUAUCAAAUUUCAGAUUUGUUUGAGUGCAGAAUUUUCUUUGGAGUUUUUCUCCAAAAAUUCUAUCUUGAGCUUUCUUUAGAAGCUGUUUUAACAAUCUUUGGAUUGUGGGUGCCAUCUUCAACCUUCUUCUUGCCAUUGAUAUUCAUUGGAGGGGAGAUUAGAGCCGUUUGAAGGGAUUUGUGAAUUCUUUCGGGAAUUAAAGGAUUCUAAGGACUUUUCUUUAUUUCUUGCUGUUUUGAUUUAUUUCUUUAUUCCUACUUGUGCCGAUUCAUUAUCUAAUCUUUUUUCUAUUCUUUCUUGUGUUUCCAGACGUGAUUAAACUCAAGAUCUCGUCGUUUAAGCUGUUCUCCUAUUGGCAGCACACAUUCGAAUCCAAAAAUCCCCAAUUCCUAGGGUUUGGCUGAUUGGAUCUCUUUCAAUUUGGGAAUCAAUUGAUCACUGGAAAUUAGGCAUUCUUUGCUGAAUUGAUUUGUUGGUAGAUUCACCUUACUUCUAUCCUUCAAAAAAUUGUUUGAUCCAUCUAUUUUAUUUCUUCUCUUCUUGUCGUUUCAAUCCCUAAUAUUCAAUUAAAUUUCUGGUUGUUCUAAUUUACUUACUGUUUUGGUGUUCUUGGACAGAUUUGGCUUGUGAGAAAACAAUCUUGGAGUUUGAUUUCGUCUUCUUGAACUCCAAAAGCAUCUAUUCAUUCGUUCUUUGGUUCUUGGCUGUUUUCUAAUUAUUUUUGGGGAUUUCAAUUUCGGUUCUGAUUCAUUUUAAUCUUUCCUUUGUUUUGAUUUUAGAUCUGUUCAUCUAGAGCCUCGUAGGAGUUUCCUCGUUACUUGGUAACUCGAUCUUGGUCCGCGCGCACCUCUAUAUCAGGCUCAAAUUACCACAAGGCCCAAUAACGAGGUCAAAGGCCAGACAAAUGCGUUCAAAACUAAAUGGAACCAUUCAAGAAUUUAUUAGCAAGGCCUUAGAUGUGUACAUGAAGGAAAAAUAAAAUCAAGAUUCACUUUCUUGUUUUCAAGAAAAUCAAGAAACCGAAUCUUGGUCCAAUUUUGCUGUUUGGAGUAAUUUCAAGAAUCAAGAAAAUUAAGAUUUCAAAUCACAAAAAUCUUGGUCCAAGAAAUCGAAUCGUGCAGCUAAGGCGCAUUGGAUCUCCGUUACGAGGAUGAACGAACCAAUUUCAGAAGGAAACAGACUACAAGCCCAAGUUCUUGAAGGCAAGGCCCAAUAAGAUGUUCCAAGCCCAAUCAAGAAAGUUAAAUGAGACUUAGUUGAAAAUCAGGCCAAAUUGUCAAAGUGGCCCAAUUUGUAAAAUUUUAAUUGUUUAAAUACCUAGUUUAAUUUUUAGACUUUAUGAUUAAUGCCUAUGUAAAAAAAAUUCAGCCCAAGCAGCCCAUUAAAUGCCUUGGCCGAAUUUUCCCUCUAAAUUUAAUAAUUAGGUUUUUUUUAGUUUUCUAAUAAGAUUAAGAAAAUAGUUAGAAGGCCUAUUAAUAGGCUUGGCCGGCCACCUUGUGAAAACACUUGAAGAAUACAUUGAAAUCAAAUUUGUUUUGUUGAGUGAAAAUUCUCUUUGAGUUCUCCAAGAAUUUUCUCUUGAGUUUUCUUUAGAAGGAGUUUUAACAAUCUUUUUGAUUGUGGGAGCCAUCUUCAGCCUUCUUCUUGCCAUUGUUCUUCAUUGGAGGGGAGAUUAGAGCCACUUGAAGGGAGUUGUGAAGUCUUUCUUGAUUUCAAGGCUUCUUAGGACUUUAUCUUUAUUUUUCUUGUUGUUCAAUCUUUUUAAUUUUCUGCUUGUGUCGAUUUCAUUAUCUAACUUGUUUAAACUCUCUUGUUGCGUCUCCAGCCCCAUUCAACCUUCAAGAAUCUAUUCGGCAUCAACCUUGGACAACAAGAAACAUUUUAAUUUCACAAAACCCCUCUUUAUUGCCGUCCAAACCCUAGAUCUAUUUGAUUUUGUGAUCUGCUUAGUAUUUUUGAAAUUAACUUGCUGUUUUGUGUUCUUCUUUUCAAAUUCAGCUGUUUGGAACCUAUCUUGAAUUCAAUUCCGUGUUCUUGGCUUCCAAGAUUAGCUAUUCCUAAGUGUUUUUAAAUCUUGGCUAAUCUUUAAUAGAUUUGGGUAUUUUCGUUUCAGAUCUAAUUGAUUCUAAGCCGAAUUUUCUGUUUUCGUUUCAGAUCCAAGCGUUUAGAGUUUUUGUAGGAAUUUCCCGUGACUUGACAACUUGAUCUUGGUCCGCGCGCGACCCCCUAUCAACAUUGAAUUCAGCCAGCAGGACUCCUUUAAGGCUUUUUUUUGUCGAACACGAAAAAGGUGUGGAGAAAAGCAAUCAGUAGCCUCUUCCUUAAUUGUAAGUCAAAGUGCAUGCUUCUCCAUUAAUUUUUGUCCAUUAAAUGGCCACAUAAAAAACACUAGCAGUAGCUUUUAAUGCCAUCCUAGGGAAGAGGUACCUGCACAUUUAAUCAGUAGCCUAAUUAAAUUCGGCUGGAUAUUAAAUAGCAGCUUAAGCAUAAAUUAAUUGGUCUGAACUCUAACAUGUAAUUAAGAUGUCUAAAGCUAAGACACAUUAAAAACGCCUAUUUAAAAUUGUAAUAACCAAGACACAAAUUAAUUUCAGCAACAGCUAAUUUAAUUUGUCUCUUCUUUAGGCACAUUUAAACCAUGCAUCAAACUAAAACACAAAAUUAAAUAAGUUCAAAUUAAGACAUAUUUAUGAGCUAAAACUAAAUUAACUAAUUUAAUUAAAUCAUGAAAUUAUUCCAACAGCUAAAAUAAAUAAAGUAAAAGAUGAAAUCGAGCUCAAAGAGAUCGAAAAAAUGGCAAGCCUCGCUUGGUUAGCUGGUCCAAUUGAUGUUCCCGGGGCAAGGUCAUAUCAUUCCCCCUUCUUCAGAACGACUUGUCCUCAAGUCGAGCCAUUGGUUAACUCGAUCAUAGCACCUUUUACUCAGCUUUCCUCGGUCGAACGGAAUGGAUUGGAAUUGAAUGAAGCUUGAUUUUCCCAUAAAAUGAACCAAAGCAGAUUCCGGGUUUAAAACCUUGAUUUUGAAUAUUCAUGCCAAAGUGUAGCAAAAAUUUCGUUAAACCAAACACGUUAAACCAAUGGGAUUUUUGCAUACACGGGGACAAACAGUUAAAACUUUUUACAUUCAUCAAAUCAUACUUGCACAAAUUCAUGGAUUUUCCACCAAGCGUUAAUUGGUGCACAAAAUUGUCACAAAUGAAAAAUUUGAUCGCCUUUCGUGAAAAUCCGUCAUCACGCAAAAUUAAAUCUUUGGUUUGUUGAUUGGAACAAAAAUCAACCACAUUUAAGGAGUAGCAAUUAAUCUGACCAAAAUAAGGAGAGCGUUUAGAAAUUAAGUCAUUGAAAAGUAUUUCAACAAUUUUCAAACCUGGUGGCCAUGACUCGGAUGUUAACAUUUCCUCACCUCGCUUACCUUUGAACUCGUGGGGCAUGUUUUCAUCUUCAACCUUACCUAUACUAAUCAUACGAAAGCGUCUUUCAUCAAAAAGGUAUUAAAGUUGAAAAUUAUCGUUUGAUAUUUCGGGCACCUAAAAAGAAGAAACAGAACAAGAACAAGUUUCAUAUGGAUUAGUUGAAACGCUCCUCACUUUUUUCUGGUUCGUUUGUCUCUUUUUCUCUCGUUUCUUUUUUAAUCUCAACUUCUUUUUUUCUUUUUCCAUUUUCUCUCUCGUUUUCAAUUUUAUUUUCGACCUCACACUCUUUUUUUUAUUUCCUUUUCUUUUUCAAUCUCUUUUUCUUUUCUUUCAAUUUCUUUUUCCACUCUUUCUUUUCCUUCUCUUUCAAUUUCUUUUUCAAUCUCUUUUUGCUUUCCACUCUCUUUUGUUUUUGAAAUCUCAUUUUCAUAUUUUUCUUUUUCAUUUCUUUCAUUUUCAUUGUUCUUUUCUCGCUCACAAUCUUUUACAACCAAAUUUUUCAAUUUGAUUUGGUCUUCAUAGAAUUGUUUCGGUGUGAACGGCGCUAAGGUGAUUUUAAUUCCUUGAUGCUUAAAGGAAUACCUAUUUGUACAAUCAUCGUGAGUGACCUUACGAUCCGAUUUCCAUGGUUCUCCUAGCAACAAAUGGUAGGUAUGAAUAGGCACCACGUCGCAAAUAAUUCAUCUUGGUAUCUACCGAUGGAGAAGGCGAUGCGCACUUGUUGAGUGACUUUAAAUUUACCUUCAACACCAAGUCCUUGCAGUUGAUAGGGUCGUGGAUGUUUGGUUGUGGCCAAGCCAAGUUUUUCCACCGUUCGAAUACUAGCCACGUUUGAUCUACUUCCACCAUCAAUAAUGAGGCAACAAACUUUAUCGUGGACAAGGCAAUGCGUAUGAAACAUAUCUUCACGUUGUGGUUUAUUUUACAAUCUUUAAAGGAUUGAACUCAUCUUGAUGUCAUGGGCUUCAUCUUCGAAAGCUGGUUGCAAAUCAGUCUUAAAAAAUUCUUGGAACAUGAUUCAAGAAAAUGUUAGAAAAUGAAAGAUUAAAAAUUAAACCUCACCAAUUCAAAAUCCUCACCAAUCUCUCACAAAGAAAGAAUAAAGUGAUGGACACUCCACUCAUGUUUUCACUCUUAUAUCGACCUUUAAUCUCUCGGCUAGUCUCACCAACUCUCUUGCCUUUUACCACUUGAUUUUUUGCCUCUCGAAGUUCUCCGCAAACUAAGUAGAUGAAUCAGUACCAUUUGGGGUCAGCUUACAAAGUUGACUUGGCUUGGUGGGUAAUUGAUAGAGGGUUGUGCGCGAACCAAGAUCGAGUUAUCAAAGUCACGGGAAAAUCCUACGAAAGCUUUAGACUCUUAAAUCUGAAACGAAACAGAAAAAAUUAAAUAUUAGAAUUCCAGAUCUAAAACAAAAACCCCAAAACAAUAAAGAAUCAGCCAAGAACCGAAACACUUAUUAAUAGGGGAUUCUUGAAGGUUGAACAGGGCUGGUGAUGCAAGAAGAACAAUUAAUCACAAGUUAAUCAAUAAAUCAGCACAAGCAUAAAUUAAUAAAGAAGAAUGAAUAACAAGAAAAUAAAGAAAGUCCUAAGAAGCCUUGAAAUCCCGAAAGAUUUCACAAGUCCCUUCAAACGGCUCUAAUCUUCCCUCCAAUGAAGAACAAUGGCAAGAAGAAGGCUAAAGAUGGCUCCCACAAUCGAAAAGAUUGUUAAAACUACUUCUGAUAUGAGUCACAAAGGCCUUAGAUACGUAUACGAAGGAAAAAGAAAAUCAAGAUUCACUUUCUUGUUUUCAAGAAAAUAAAGAAACUGAAUCUUGGUCCAAUUUUGCUGUUUUGAGUGAUUUUAAGAAUCAAGAAAAUCAAGAUUUCAAAUCUUGGAAAUCUUGGUCCAAGAAAUCGAAUCUUGCAGCUAAGGCGCAUUGGAUCUCAAUGAUGAGCCUUAACAAGCCAAUUUCAGGAGAGAACGGAUUACAAGCCCAAGUUCUUGAAGACAAGGCCCAAUAAGAUGUUCCAAAGCCCAAUCAAGAAAUUUAAAUUAAACUUAGUUGAAAAUCAGGCCAAAUUAUCAAAGUGGCCCAAUUUGUUAAGUUUUAAUUCUUUAAAUACUUAGUUUUCAUUUUUAGACUUUAUAAAUAAAUUUCUAUGAAAAAAUUCAAUCCAAGAGGCCCAUUUAAAGUCCUUGGCCGAAUUUCCCCUUUAAAGUAAAAAAAAUUAGGUUUUUUUUAUUUUCUGAUUAGGACUAGGAAAAUAGUUAGAAGGCCUAUAUGUAUGGCUUGGCCAGCCACCUUUAGACACAUUAUACUUGAAGAAUACAUUGAAAUCAGAUUUGUUUUGUUGAGUGAAAAUUCUCUUUGAGUUCUCCAAGAAUUUUUUCUCUUAAGUUUUCUUUAGAAGGAGUUUUAACAAUCUUUUUGAUUGUGGGAGCCAUCUUCAGCCUUCUUCUUGCAACUGUUCUUCAUUGGAGGGGAGAUUGAGCCGUUUGAAGGAACUUGUGAAAUCUUUCUCGAUUUCAAGGCUUCUUAGGACUUUCUUUAUUUUCUUGCUGUUCGUUCUUCUUUAUUAAUUUCUGCUUGUGCUGAUUUAUUGAUUAACUUGGGAUUAAUUGUUGUUGUUGCGUUUCAACCAUUCUAAACUUCAAGAUCUGAUUCGACUUCGUUCUUAGGCAUCAAGAAAGGUUCUUCAUUCAUAAUUUCCAGAUUUCUUGCCACCCAAGUAUUUCUUAUUCUAUUCAAUUUGGGUUUCUUGAUCUAACAAGUUUAGUUCUCUGUUUUCUAUUUUCGAUGUAGCCAAUUUUUUUAUAGAUCUCGUAGGACUUUAACGUGACUUGACAACUCGAUCUUGGUCCACGCGCAAUCCUCUAUCAACUUCUAAAGAAAACUCAAUAGAAAAUUCUUGGAGAAAAACUCAAGAGAAUUUGCAAGCAAUCAAAAUCUGAUUUUAAGUGUAUUUGAUACGAGUCACAAAUGCCCAACCCAAGCUCAAGAACUUGAUGGGCUCAAAUUACCACAAGGCCCAAUAACGAGGUCAAAGGCCAGACAAAUGCGUUCAAAACUAAAUAGAACCAUUCAAGAAUUUAUUACCAAGGCCUUAGAUGCAUACACGAAGGAAAAAGAAAAUCAAGAUUCACUUUCUUAUUUUUAAGAAAAUCAAGAAACCGAAUCUUGGCCUAAUUUUGCUAUUUGGAGCGAUUUCAAGAAUCAAGAAAAUCAAUAUUUCAAAUCUUGGAAAUCUUGGUCCAAGAAAUCGAACCCUCCAGCUAACGCGCAUUGGAUCUCCGUUACGAGCAUCAACGAACCAAUUUCGGUAGGAGAUGGACUACAAGCCCAAGUUCUUGAAGGCAAGGCCCAAUAAGAGGUUCUAAGUCCAACCAAGAAAUUCAAACCAUACUUAGUUGAAAAUCAGGCCAAAUUAUUAAAGUGGCCCAAUUUGUAAAAUUUUAAUUGUUUAAAUACCUAGUUUAAUUUUUAGACUUUGGGAUUAUUAUAUAUGUAAAAAUUCGACCCAAGAAGCCCAUUAAAUGCCUUGGUUGAAUUUUCCCUCUCAAUUUAUUAAUUAGGGUUUUUUUUAGUUUUCCUAAUGAGAUUUGAAAAUAGUUAGAAGGCCUAUUAAUAGGCAUGGCCGGCCACAUUGUCAAACACAUUACAAUUACAUAAAAAAAUUUCAGAUUUGUUUUGAGUGAAAAUUCUCUUUGAGUUCUCCAAGAUUUUUCUCUUGAGUUUUCUUUAGAAGUAGUUUUAACAAUCUUUUUUAUUGUAGGAACCAUCUUCAGCCUUCUUCUUGCCAUUGAUCUUCAGUGGAGGGGAGAUUAGAGCCGUUUGAAGGGAGUUGUGGAAUCUUUCGGGAUUUCAAGGCUUCUUAGGACUUUAUCUUUAUUUUCUUGUUGUUCAAUCUAUUUUUAAUUUUUGUUUUGUGCCGAUUUCAUAUCCUAACUUCUUAAGUUUUCUUGCUGUGUUUCCAACCUUUUUCAAUGUUAAAGAAACUAAUCGGCACCCUUCUUGGUAGCAAGAAUCAAGCAUCAAUUCAUCUUUUCCAUUAAUCUUGUCAAUUAUUCCUUCUAAUUCUGAUUAAAUUUGGCUUGCUGGGAUUUGGAGUUUGAUCUGCUGUUUCAGGAAAAUUAACUUGCUAAUUCGUGUUGGGAAAAUUUACAACGUUCUUGAGUAUCAAUAAUUAUUUUUUGAUUCAUAAUUCUUUAUUUCUCUUGCUGUCCCAAACCCUAGGACUCUAUUUAAUCUGAUUGUUCUUUGUGAUCUGAUUUUAAUUUGUUCUUGGUGCUGAUAAGUUCAGCUAUUUGGGGUUUCUCCCUAAACUCAAAUUUAGGUUCUUGGCUUCCAAGAAUUGUCAUCUCUUAGGGUGUUUUAAUUCUUGUUGUCCACUGAUUGAUUUGGGGAUUUUGUGUUCAGAUCUAAUCAGAUCUAACUUUAAUUCUCUGUUUCGUUUCAGAUCUGAUCGUCUAAAGCUUUCGUAGGGUUUCCCGUGACUUGACAACUCGAUCCUGGUUCGCGCGCAACCCUCUAUCAUUUGGUAUCAGAUUUUGGGUGUUUUAGGUGUUCUUGAUUGAUUUCUAAACUGAUCUCUCUCUUUAAAAUAACAAACAACAGUUUUACCUAGAAAAUUUUUUGGAAAAAGGUUCAUUCAAGUGGUAAACGUUUUCCGAUUGAUCUGAAAUUUUACAUGCACAUGUUUGGCACUGUGAUUGAAUACUAAAAAAUAUUUCCCACAAAAAACCUAAUAGAGGGUUACACGGGGACCAAGAUUGAGUUGUCAAGUCACGGGAAAGUCCAACGAGAUCUAUAAACAAAUUGGCUGCGACGAAAACAAAAAACAAAGAACUAAACUUGUCAGAUCAAGAAACCCAAAUCGAAUAGAAUAAGAAAUACUUGGGGGCAAGGCCCAAUAAGAUAGGCUCAAAUCAGCUCAAGAACGUGAUGGGCUCAAAUUACCACAAGGCCUAAUAACGAGGUCAAAGGCCAAACAAAUGCGUUCAAAACUAAAUGGAACCAUUCAGGAAUUUGUUAGUAAGGCCUUAGAUGCGUACACGAAGGAAAAAGAAAAUCAAGAUUCACUUUCUUGUUUUCAAGAAAAUUAAGAAACUGAAUCUUGGCCUAAUUUUCCUGUUUGGAGCUAUUUCGAGAAUCAAGAAAAUAAAGAUUUCAAAUCUUGGAAAUCUUGGUCCAAGAAACAGAAUCUUGUAGCUAACGCGCACUGGAUCUCUGUUACGAGCAUCGACGAACCAAUUUCGAUAGGAGAUGGACUACAAGCCCAAGUUCUUGAACGGAAGGCCCAAUAAGAGGUUCCAAGCCCAACGAAGAAAUUCAAACCACACUUAGUUGAAAAUCAGGCCAAAUUAUUAAAGUGGCCCAAUUUGUAAAAUUUUAAUUGUUUAAAUACCUAGUUUAAUUUUUAGACUUUGGGAUUAUUAUAUAUGUAAAAAUUCGGCCCAAGCAGCCCAUUAAAUGCCUUGGCCGAAUUUUCCCUCUCAAUUUAUUAAUUAGGGUUUUUUUAUAGUUUUCCUAAUGAGAUUAGGAAAAUAGUUAGAAGGCCUAUUAAUAGGCAUGGCCGGCCACAUUGUCAAACACAUUACAAUUACAUAAAAAAAUUUCAGAUUUGUUUUGAGUGAAAAUUCUCUUUGAGUUCUCCAAGAUUUUUCUCUUGAGUUUUCUUUAGAAGUAGUUUUAACAAUCUUUUUGAUUGUGGGAACCAUCUUCAGCCUUCUUCUUGCCAUUGAUCUUCAGUGGAGGGGAGAUUAGAGCCGUUUGAAAGGAGUUGUGGAAUCUUUCGGGAUUUCAAGGCUUCUUAGACUUUAUAAAGAUUUUCUUGCUGUUCAAUCUAUUUUUAAUUUCUGUUUUGUGCCGAUUUCAUAUCCUAACUUCUUAAGUUUUCUUGCUGUGUUUCCAUCCUUUGUCAACGUUAAAGAAACUGAUCGGCACCCUUCUUGGUAGCAAGAAUCGAGCAUCAAUUCAUCUUUUCCAUUGAUGAUACGAGUCAUAAAGGCCCAAUCCAAGUUCAAGAAUGUGAUGGGCUCAAAUUGCCACAAGGCCCAAUAACAAGAUCAAAGGCCCGACAAAUGCGGUCCAAACUAAAUGGGACCAUUCAAGAGCUUGUUAGCAAGGCCUUAGAUGCAUACACGAGAGAACAAGAAAAUCAAGAUUCACUUUCUUGUUUUCAAGAAAAUCAAGAAACCCAAUCUUGGCCCAAUUUUGCUGUUCGAAGAGAUUUCAAGAAUCAAGAAAAUCAAGAUUUCAAAUCUUGGAAAUCUUGGUCCAAGAAACCAAAUCUUGCAGCCAAAACGCAUUGGAUCUCCAUUACGAGCGUCAAUGACCCAAUUUUCGUAGGAGAUGGAUCACGAGCCCAAAUUCUUAAAGGCAAGGCCCAAUAAGCAAAUUCCCAGCCCAAUCAAGAAAUCCAUACAUAUUUAGUUGAAAAUCAGGCCAAAAUGUCAAAGGGCCCAAUUUGUAAACAUUUUAGUUGUUUAAGUUAAUUUUUAAAGUUUUAGGAAUAUCACAUGUUAAAUUCGGCCCAAAACAGCCCAAUAGGAUGCAUGGCCGAAUUUUCCUUUGUUUUUUUAAUUAAGUUUAAAUUUUUUAGGUUUUCUAAUUAGAUUAGGAUUUGUUGGAGGCCAAUAUAAGCAUUGGCCAGCCACCCUUUGUAAAUGGCUGAUUAUUAUUUUUUUCUAUCAAAUUUUAGAUUUGUUGAGUGCAGAAUUUUCUUUGGGGUUUUCUCCAAGAAUUCUCUCUUGAGUUUUCUUUAGAAGUUGUUUUAACAAUCUUUUGAUUGUGGGAGCCAUCUUCAACCUUCUUCUUGCCAUCGAUAUUCUUUGGAGGGGAGAUUAGAGCCGUUUGAAGGAUUUUGUGAAUUCUUUCGGGAAUUCAAGGGUUCUUAGGACUUUUCUUUAAUUCUUGCUGUUUCGAUUUCUUUCUUUACUUUUCUUUGCUUAUACUUGUGCCUAUUUCUCAUCUAAUAUUUUGCUGUUCUUGUUUGUUUUCCAGUAUUGAUUAAAAUCAAGAUCUCAUCGUUUAAGUUGUUCUCCUAUUGGCAGCACCCAUUCGAACCCAAAAAUCCCCAAUUCCUAGGGUUUGGCCGAUUGGAUUUCUUUCAAUUUGGGAAUCAAUUGAUUGCUGGAAAUUGGGCAUUCUUGGUCGAAUCAAUUCCUUGGCAGAUUCGCAUCUUUUCUUUCUUCUCAAUUUCGUUUGAUUCAUCGAUUCUAUUUCUUUUCUUCUUGCUGCUCUUUUAAUUGAAUUUGAGAAUUUUAAAUUCAAAUCUGAUUUGGUUUAAUCUUAAUCUUUGUUUUUGUUUUCAGAUCUAUUUGUCUAGGACCUUUCGUAGGAGUUUCCCGUGACUUGGCAACUCGAUCUUGGUCCGCGUGAAACCCCGUACCAUUUGGUAUCAGAUUUUGGGCGUUUUGGGUGUUCUUGGUUGAUUUCUAAACUGAUCUCUAUUUUUUACAGCAUAAACAACAGUUUUACCCAGAAAAAUUGUUCAAAAAAAUUCAUUUGAGUGGGUAAACGUUGUUUGAUUGAUCUGAAAUUUUACAUACAUGUUUUUGGCACUGUGAUUGAAUAUAAAAAAAUUAUUCCCGAAAAAAAAUCAGUCAAAAAAGUCAAAAAAAUCAAAAAAGACGAAAUUCAAUAAUAAUUUAAAAAAAGAUUCAGCGGGUUGAAUUUGGUGCCCAAAAUUUCCAGAUCAAAAAUUAAAUAUAUAAGGACACUCCAGAUUUAAUUUCGUGAUUUUUGGAGAUCGGGAACACCUCGAACGAAGUUGUCAAGUUACUCCGCAGUUUUUCGGGUUUUCUGUUUUCAGCAAUUUUUAUUGAUUCUUAGCUGUAGGUUUUCAUUUGUUUACCUUUAUUCUUCCGUUACGUUAUCUAACACCUUCUUGUUUCUUGUGUUAGUAGGAUUUAAACGUGUGCACAACUUCUUCCUCAGUGCAACACGAAUCAAUUGGUGUCUCGUCAGUUUUUGGCAUCCUAGUGCAAAUUAGGAUUCUUUGGUAGUUUGGUUCACACUCUCUAAUUGGUUGAUAUAAACUCUGAUAAAGAACUCACAAGAUUGAAUUCGACCUCAUUGAGAAUUUGAUUUUUUCUUUUUUUGAGUGAUUAACGGUGAGGUUUGAUAACUUUUAUUUUUGAGUGUUGAGUGUUUAUUUUUGCAGCUUUUUUGGAAGAUGUCUAAAGAUGACCAUAAUGAUACACUUAUGGAAGUCCAACAACAGUUAGAAGGACACGCUACUGCAAUCACACAAAUAAAUGCUACCCUUCAAGCAUUGAAUACUACUUUGAAUGAAGUACGAAUGAAUCAAGAACUUCAAUAUCGAGAUCCAAUCAGGGAAGAUAGGAAUAACCAGCCCCAUAGGCGCGGCCCUCGACGUGUCCCUAGAAUGGAUGAUGAUUUUCAUGAUCGUGGACAACCUUCGUUGGCAAAACCGAAAUUCACAAUUCCCCAAUUUUGUGGUAAGAAUGAUCCUGACGCUUAUUGUGAAUGGGAAUCUAAGAUUGAACUCAUGUUUCGGUAUUAUAAAUGUCCGGAUGAUGAAAAGGUAGCGUUAGCAACACUAGAAUUUUCUGAUUAUGCAUUAAGUUGGUGGACUCAACUUGGGGUAAACCGCCAUCGGAAUUAUGAAGGUGAGAUUUCGACAUGGGAUGAGUUGAAACAGAUUAUGCGUAAAAGGUAUAUUCCACCUCACUACUAUAGAGAAAUUAAAACAAAGUUGAGAAGACUUAUCCAAGGUAGUAGGACGGUGGAUGAAUAUUUUAAAGAGAUGGAGAUGCUCAUUCAGAGAGCUAAUGUAGAGGAAGAUGAAGAAACAACUAUGGUUCGAUUCAUUGAUGGUUUGAACAGGCCGAUAGCUAAUACAUUGAGGCUACAAACUUACAUUGAUUUGGAAGAAGCAGUUCACAAAGCCAUUGAGAUCGAGCAACAAUUAAAGGAACAAAGGUUUGGGUCCUUCUCUACUUCACAAUAUUAUCGAGGUAACAAUUCCAAUUCUGAUUCUAAGAGUUCAAAACCACCUUUUGUUACUAACAAGUCUUCUUUGAGUAAUGGAAGUAAACAAUCAGAUUGGAAAAAAGGGGCUCCUGCUAAAACGCAAACACCUUCUAAGCAGCCCAAUUUAGGUGAUUCGAGUGCGAAGAGGAC